rnacentral:lncRNA from 1 species
CGUGGAGUUACUCCAUGACCAGCAAUUUCAUUCUGCGUGUGUGCCGAAAGAGUGAGAAGCAGGACGCAAAGCAGGCGCCCCGCUCACGGCAGCAGCACCCACAGCAUUCACGGCAGCUGAAAGGGGGGAGCACCCACCUGUCGGUGGACGAUGGGUGAACAAGACGUGGUCCAUCCACACAGUGGAUCACGGUCCAGUCUCAGAAAGGAAGGAGGUUCCGACACGUGCUGCAGCAUGGAGGAACGCUGAGAACAUCCUCAGUGAAAUAAGCCAGCCACAGAAGAAAAAGCUCUGCAUGAUUCCACUUGUACGAGCUCCCUAGAGCAGAUUCAUAGAGACAGAAAGUGGUUUCCAGGGGCUAAGGGAGAAGGUGGAGUGAAUUUUUAAUGGGAGAGAGUCUCAGUUUUGCAAGAAGAGCUCUGGAGACGGUGGUGAUGGCUGUACCACUACGUGACUGGUCUUAGCACCACUGACCUGUGCGUGUUAAGUGCUUAAGAUGGUAAGUUUUCUGUUGUUGUGUUAGUCGCUCAGUGUCUGACCCUGUGACCUCAUGGACUAUAGCCCUCUGUCCGUGGGAUUCUCCAGGCGAGAACACUGAGUGGGUUGCCAUGCCCUCCUCCAGGGGAUCUUCCUGACCCAGGGAUUGAAGCCGGGUCUCCUGCAUUGGCAGGCGGACCGGUUACCAUCUGAGCCAGCAGGGAAGCAGAAGAAGAAAGCAGCUCUCCACCCGGGGACGAGGCGGCCUCGAGGUGGAGAAGCUGGUUUCCACCCCCGAACGCGCUCACGCCGCCCUGCGCCCACGGCGGCUGCUCGUCCUCUGUACAGGGGGCUCUGGCCAGUUUCUCGCGGAUUCGAGGAGGGGCGAGCACUCGGUUCCCGCCGUUCGGGCCUUUGCCUAUUACUCCCGUUUGUUUGGGUUUUACUUUUCCUGACCGUGGCACUUCUGGCUCUGUUGGAAAAUGUCACAUGGUUCACACCAACGUUUCUAUUCAGCAGGCGUGUAAGCAGCAGAGAAAGCACGCGCAAGGCCACUUCCAUGUCUCCCUGGAGUUCACACCCAUUGCUUUUAAGAUUCCCUGGCCGCAGCUGCUUUGGAGAAGGCUCGCAGAAGCAUUACCCAGCAAGGGGAGCGACCCCGGCAAGGCGUAAGGUGGUCUGACGGACGCGCGCAGGUGGACAUCUGGAAAGAAAUCUGCUGACCCAAAGGGCCCAGCGGCCAAGGCCCCGGCCAGCAGAGGAGGGGUCAGCCCCGGGGCCACCCGUGUCCCAGCUAGCACGGAAGGCAGUCCCUCCAGUGGGCACACGCGCAAAUCUGUUCCCGUAAAAGAUAGAGGCAAGAGUUCUUUCGGUGGUGAGCAAUCGAAACAUUGCAGCUGGGACCUGCUGGGCCCGGUUCAGCCUUUGUGUUCCAUCCAGAGUUGGGCUGGCUCCAGGCGCUCGGUUCAGUCUGCAGGGAGCCAAACACGCUCCUCAUGGUUUAGGGAACUGCUGCAGUCGAGACCCUGAGCGGGCCGGGGAGCUGGGGACACCAGGGACCCUGCCUCUGGGGACAGUGCUCUGAACAGGGCGGUCAUUACAGGUGGAGCUUUGUAACAGCAGCCGAAAACUUAUAAAUCCAGUUCUAAGUCAUGACUGUGCGAGCCAGAGGGGAGCACGUUGAUGGGAUGCAAACGAAAAUACAGAAGCUUGAUGAAAACAGCACGACUGUGGGAGGCCAAGUGGAACCGUGGGCUGCGAGCUGGCGGUCCGACGACACGGGUCGGGGGGGUGACCUCCAGUGGUGCGGGCACCCACAUGCCCUGAGCCCCCGCCCAUCAGACCCCGUGCUCUAAGCCCCGCCCCCCAUCAGACCGCGUGCCCUGAGUUGUGCUAAGCAGUUCUCCCAGCAGUCUAGCGUAACAGCCGUUGUCAUCACUGCUUUACAGAGGAGGACCCUGAAGGCCCGAUGGUCAAGAUUACGUGGCCAACGAGACACGUCUGGGAGCUAGAGCGAAGGCCCCUCGGCUCCCAGGUCCCUUAGGGGCACCGUGCUGCUUCCUGAACA